UUUGAUUUAUGGAAAUACUCAACACAUAAUGUGUGUGUCUAUAUUAUAUAUAUAUAUAUAUAUAUAUAUAUAUAUAUAUAUAUAUAAUGUUUAUAUGUAUGUAUAUAUAAGGAAAAGUGAAUAUGGGGCUGUUAUCCCCCUAACAUUUGGUGUGGAAUCCAUCAAACUAUGUUGUAUUGAUAAAAAAAUAAAACCUUUAAUUUAUUCUUGUUACAUAAGUACUAAAGUACAUAACAAAUCAAAUUCCUAAAUUUUUUUUUCCUUUCAAAACUGUACAUGCGAUUGGUGCUCACCGAUUGUGCGACCAUCGAAAUUCCAUCUUUGGCCUCUUUUACCACUAGCCAUAAUUCCAUCAUCAUCACACUUUUGGAUAAGCAUGCCAAUUAUAAAUUUGUUAAGUGCAGCAGCACCACAACAAGGGAGCGCUCUUAGUAGUGUGGAAUUCUGGAUGUGUGUCAAUAGGGUGUAGAAUGUAUAACAAGCACCAGGGAGUAUAACAUUGGCCCAACAGUAACCAGUAAGAGCUGCCAGUUAAAUUUACACAACAAUAUGAUAUAUAAUGUAUGAGGAGCCAUUUUUUGCCUUAAAAUACCCAAAAGUUGUCAACAAAAGGGACUCCAAAAUACACAAAAUGAACCAUUCACACACUAUUCAGCCUACUUAAAUUCAGUAUGUUUUCUUCAAUGUUUUUUUUUACCGAUCUUAAGUUUAACCUUCUUAAGUUCAAAUCAGGAAGGGAAUUAGAAUCCAUUUGGUGAUGAAUAUAUUGCCGGCACAUCAACCAAUUAUAAACAGGUGUGGUCGAUACUAGAAGAUGUUGCCUGCAAACCUUCAACGAAUACAACAACCAAAUCUGGCGAGUGUCAGUUUAGGUGAAAGAAGAGGCAUCAAGACUGACAGAAUCACGUGUUGCCAAACUUGGAUAUUUUUAUUUAUCACACAUAUUUUUUUGUCUAUUCGAUAUCAGUAGCCAAACUUGGAAAAAUUAGGUGAAACAAAUGAGUAAGAUAAAGGUUCUAAUUUUUUUCUUCAAAACGACAUAGUUUGAUGGGUUCCACACCUAAUGCUAGGUGUAUAACAGCCCCAUAGUCACUUUCCCCAUAUAUAUAUAUAUAUAUACAUAUCUGUAUACAUAUCCAUAUGUAAAUGUAUAUAUUUGUGUGUGUGUGU